AAAAAUUUAGGUGCUUUUAUAAAGUGAAAAGGGAAUGCGGUUUAAAUCCGCAGCAGCCCCCGCUACUGUAAGUGAUAACAAACCUUUUAAAAACCACUCUUUUAUAAGAGGAAGGAAAAGGUACGGAUGAUUCAUAAGCCAGGAGACCUGCCUAAGUUUUA
rnacentral:ncRNA from 1 species